AAAAAAAACGUCUGUUUGGUUUUGAUUAUCACGUCUAUCGCACUGAAAACCAUAUCAGUUUAAAAUUCUGAUAUAGGUUUUCCUGAGUGAACACAUCUGAAGCACAUGCACAGAAAGCGGCUGUCACAUGGCAUAAGAGCAGAAAGUCAUACAGGACUGAAACAACAUGAAGAAGAGUGCAAAUCAUACAGAUAAAGGAAUUAAUAUCCCAGGAAGCAGAAAAGGACAGGAACAGGACAAACAUCAGCUCACGCUGUGACUGACACCAGUUUAAACCAGCUGACCGCAGAUACAAACCCUCCUUCCCUGGCUGCUGCUACAUUCAACUGUUUAUCAGUAUGUUUUUCAAUCAGUUUGAGGCUUUUAAACAUUAUAACUAUUCAAAUAACUGUAUUCUAUAGCUGUGUGUAGUUCCUUAGUGUAUAGCUACC